AGCCUUCUGUAUCCGUACUGAGAUUUUAUCAAACACACAACCUCAAGAGCUGAUGAGUCUCCCAAGAUAGGUGAAGCG
rfam:Schistosoma mansoni, Puerto Rico, WGS project CABG01000000 data, contig: 1537